UUAUCUUCGGGGCAGGGUGUAAUUCCCGACCGGCGGUUAUAGUCCGCGAGCGUAAGCUGAUUUGGUGCAAUUCCAAAACCGACAGUACAGUCUGGAUGAUAGAAGAU
rnacentral:ncRNA from 1 species